AGAAGCUGGCGUUCGGAGAAAAGGAAACUUUUCGCUCAAUGGUAGCAGAAUACCGCAGAAGUGAAAAAGUCCUGCGAGAAAAGAUCCAGGUUUCAUCUUCUGUUGCUCAUCACCAUCUCUUCCUCUUUCUUCUCGUCGACUUUACCGUCGCAUAUAAGAUGAGAAAGUUAGGAUAAGCAUGUUUUCCGACUUUCAGCUGCUUCAUCGACUGUAUGCUUUCUUUCGGAGGAUACGAAACGAUGGUGCUUCGUUAUACCGAAGCUUUCUAUUUGCCUAUGUGGAGCACAUUUGGGUCACACGAGACAACACCGAGGUCGAUCGUAUCGGACAAAGUCUUACACUAUGUCAUUGGACAAAUGACAUCCGCGGCAAUAUCUGUGCCAACUUUGAAGAGCUGAGA